UUUCUCCAUCUUCACACCAUUCCAUUUCGGUGAAAAACCAAAAGCUGCUUUGCAAUCCUAUUCUACAAGCUUUGACCAAUACUUUCAAAAUUCAAAUUUUGCAGCUUGACCCAUCCCUUUCAUGAUGCUGCUGCUACUACUGUUGUUUUCUGCUUUGUUGGAAUCAAUUUCAAAAUUCAAAAUUCAAUUUAUCCCACUCUUUUUCAAUAUCUAAACUCACUUUCUUACUCAUCUCUCUCCAUUUUUUGUUGAUUCCUUUGAACUUCGUCUCUCUCCAUGAAUCAACCAUCUUGAAUGGCACAAGCCACAAUCUUCAAAGUAGUAAAAUUUUGAUACCUGAUCGAAGGAAUCGCUCUCUCGCAUGACACAAUCAGAGAUUUUGUUAAUUUCGAAAGUUGGAUAUUUUACUGCUCGAAAAAGUCAAAGAAACAGGGGUUGGAAGAAUAAAGCAGAAGAGGGGUUAUAAAUAUCGAUGGAUGUACACGGAUGAAAAUGGAAAAAAUACUGCUGAUGCGUGCCUUAUUGCUUACAAAGAUCCUUAUUCAGCUCACUUUGCCAGUAGUUUUUUCAAUGGUGCACCUAUAGUAGGUAUGCUUUUUGAGAAGAUAGAAUAAGACACUGAUGCACAUGAUAAGAACGUUGAGGGAUAAGGAGAAGAAAAAGGAAUAGAAUGGUAAAACUGAUGCAUAGUAUAGGGAGGAUCGUGUAAUGUACAUAUAUGCUAUCAUACAUAUAAAACCACACAUUCAAUUUGUUGACUCUAUAUUUGAAGAGAUUAUUAUGCAAUGGCUUAAAUUUUGAAUUUGGAGUUAGACAAAAGUUAUGUAUUUUAGGGCUUUACGAAAACUAUGAUUUAAUUUUUUUUCUUAUUAUGUUUUCUAUCCUUGGGCAAGUGAAUUAUGUAACCUUAGUUGUAGUAAUAACUUCAUUCUAUUUCUUAACAAGUACAUUGAAGAAUA